AUGCAGAAGGAGGGAAGAGAGCCGGCGGGAGCGUCAGGGCAGCAGUGGUCACGGGGGUGAGCUCCUGACCCGGCCGAGGGUCUGUGGGGGACACACAGCCAUGGCAGUUUGCUCUAGUGCCAGGCACGCCCACUGCAGCCACACUUUUGUCACCAGGCCAGUUCUGGACAGGGUUCCUGGAAGCUUAGCACUGAGUGUGGGGCUCAGCUCUCCCAGCCCUACUGUGAAUCGCCCAGGUCCCCUUUAAUAAGCCCCUUUGGUGAAGAAUCAACACUUGGCAAUUUUGUUGCCUUCAGAUGAACACCUUGACUUCCUGCUCUGUUUACUCCUUCAGGAUUCAGCUCUGCAAAUCACGCUCCUAGCAUUGUAGUGGCACCUGUUCCUGUUUUCACAAUUAGGAAACCAUCAUUCCUACUCAGCUCCUGAGCCCACAGCUGUAUUGGAGUUCUCUGGACACCACUCCCUUCCUCUGACUUCCCCUCUGCCAGCUUCCCAUGUGGUUUUCUUCUCUCCAACCAAGAGUCAGUGGAUCCCAAGCACUAUUUUAUCAGAGUUAAAGACUGUCUUCUUUCUCAUUAGAAUAGAUUCCAAGUGAAUUCCAACCCAUUUGAUCUUAAGGAGGAGCUGCCAAGUCCCAGUGACAGUUAGUGAUGACAUUAGAAGAAAAUGAACCGCUCAGCAAUUUUGCAUCUCAAUAGUCGGCCCUUCUCUACACACGGCUGAGUUAGAGGUGCUGGAUCCAGCUCUCGUGCCCCGCAAGAACAUGACCAGUGGGAUCAAGUCUUUAGAGUUCUUCAGGCCAAAUGUGAUGCUGUGUGGCUUCUGAAGCCAGGGCUAAAAGGCCAUGUGGUUUCUGCCUUGUUCACUGGAGCAUUUGCU
rnacentral:lncRNA from 1 species